rnacentral:other from 1 species
AUAAUCCUGCUAAGUUCGUGUUAGGGCCGGUUAUUUUGAAACCAACACUAAAACAUUGGGAAUUCGGUGUCUGGUUGAGUAUGAAAAGCCUUCUGGGAAAGGAAUUCAAAACCAACUAGCAGAGUACCCACCUGCGUAGGCAGGUUUCUCAAAAUUCCGGCAAACGGCUAGAGCGGGAGAUGC